ACCUCCGUAACGGUACCUGCGGAGGGAUCAUUGCUGGAACGCGCCCCAGGCGCACCCAGAAACCCUUUGUGAACUUAUACCUUACUGUUGCCUCGGCGCAUGCUGGCCCCCUCGGGGGCCCCUCGGAGACGAGGAGCAGGCACGCCGGCGGCCAAGUUAACUCUUGUUUUUACACUGAAACUCUGAGAAAAAACACAAAUGAAUCAAAACUUUCAACAACGGAUCUCUUGGUUCUGGCAUCGAUGAAGAACGCAGCGAAAUGCGAUAAGUAAUGUGAAUUGCAGAAUUCAGUGAAUCAUCGAAUCUUUGAACGCACAUUGCGCCCUCUGGUAUUCCGGAGGGCAUGCCUGUUCGAGCGUCAUUUCAACCCUCAAGCAUUGCUUGGUGUUGGGGCACUGCCUGUAAAAGGGCAGGCCCUGAAAUCUAGUGGCGAGCUCGCCAGGACCCCGAGCGCAGUAGUUAAACCCUCGCUUUGGAAGGCCCUGGCGGUGCCCUGCCGUUAAACCCCCAACUUUUGAAAAUUUGACCUCGGAUCAGGUAGGAAUACCCGCUGAACUUAAGCAUAUCAAA
rnacentral:rRNA from 1 species